ACAAAAACAUCUUUUUUUGAUUUUAUUUAAGGUUUAACCUGCUCAAUGAAGUUUAAAUAGCCCCGGUAAAUUAACUGUGCUAAGGUAGCAUAAUAAUUAGUUUUUUAAAUGAGGUUUGGAAUGAAUGGUUGAACGAAAAAUUUACUUUUUUUUUUGUAUUUUUUUGAAUUUUUUUUUUUAGUUAAAAAGCUUAAAUGAUAAAGAGGGACGAUAAGACCCCAUAGAUUUUAAAAUUAUUAAUUUAUUUAAUUUUUUUUGUUGUUUUUGAUUAUUUAUUUUAAUUAAUUUUAGUUGGGGCGAUGAAUAAAAUUUUAAUUUUUUUUUUUUUUUUACAUUAUGUUUGGAUAUUUGAUCUUUUUUUUUGAUUAAAAGAUAAAGAUACCUUAGGGAUAACAGCGUUAUUUAAUUGGAGAGUUCUUAUUGAUAAUUAAGUUUGCGACCUCGAUGUUGGAUUAAUAAUUUCUGUGGGGUAGGUU
rnacentral:rRNA from 1 species